rnacentral:tRNA from 1 species
AGUCCCGCAGUUGUAGAAAUAUCAGAUUGCAAAUCUGAAGGAGCAGGUAAAUAACCUGCCGGGACUU